rnacentral:rRNA from 1 species
CCUACGGGCGGCAGCAGUGGGGAAUAUUGCACAAUGGGCGCAAGCCUGAUGCAGCCAUGCCGCGUGUGUGAAGAAGGCCUUCGGGUUGUAAAGCACUUUCAGCGGGGAGGAAGGCGGUGAGGUUAAUAACCUCAUCGAUUGACGUUACCCGCAGAAGAAGCACCGGCUAACUCCGUGCCAGCAGCCGCGGUAAUACGGAGGGUGCAAGCGUUAAUCGGAAUUACUGGGCGUAAAGCGCACGCAGGCGGUCUGUCAAGUCGGAUGUGAAAUCCCCGGGCUCAACCUGGGAACUGCAUUCGAAACUGGCAGGCUAGAGUAUUGUAGAGGGGGGUAGAAUUCCAGGUGUAGCGGUGAAAUGCGUAGAGAUCUGGAGGAAUACCGGUGGCGAAGGCGGCCCCCUGGGCAAAGACUGACGCUCAGGUGCGAAAGCGUGGGGAGCAAACAGGAUUAGAUACCCGAGUAGUC